GAACGAGGCAUCACACAAAGGA
rnacentral:miRNA from 1 species